UGGGGAAUAUUGGACAAUGGGGGCAACCCUGAUCCAGCAAUGCCGCGUGUGUGAAGAAGGCCUUAGGGUUGUAAAGCACUUUCACCCGUGAAGAUGAUGACGGUAGCGGGAGAAGAAGCUCCGGCUAACUCCGUGCCAGCAGCCGCGGUAAUACGGAGGGGGCUAGCGUUGCUCGGAAUUACUGGGCGUAAAGCGCACGUAGGCGGCUAAUCCAGUUAGGCGUGAAAGGCCUGGGCUUAACCUAGGAACUGCGCUUAAUACUGAUUGGCUAGAAUCCGAGAGAGGGUAGUGGAAUUCCCAGUGUAGAGGUGAAAUUCGUAGAUAUUGGGAAGAACACCAGUGGCGAAGGCGGCUACCUGGCUCGGUAUUGACGCUGAGGUGCGAAAGCGUGGGGAGCGAACAGG
rnacentral:rRNA from 1 species